UACGUAGGGGGCAAGCGUUGUCCGGAUUUAUUGGGCGUAAAGAGCGUGUAGGCGGCCAGGUAGGUCAGCUGUGAAAACUCGAGGCUCAACCUCGAGAUGUCGGCUGAAACCAUCUGGCUAGAGUCCGGAAGAGGAGAAUGGAAUUCCUGGUGUAGCGGUGAGAUGCGCAGAUAUCAGGAGGAACACCGGUGGCGAAGGCGGGUCUCUGGGCCGAUACUGACGCUGAGGAGCGAAAGCGUGGGGAGCGAACAGG
rnacentral:rRNA from 1 species